AUAAAGUUCCUUUGGGUAAGAAGUACUACUUGUCAUCAAAAUGGAUAGAAGGAGAUGUAUAUAGACGUAUUUUAGUUCUAGAUACGUCCCUUUUUAUCCAUUUUGAUGACAAGUAUUUUUGGACGAAGGGAGCUUAUA
rnacentral:pre_miRNA from 1 species